rnacentral:rRNA from 1 species
GACGAACGCUGGCGGCGUGCUUAACACAUGCAAGUCGAACGGAAAGGCCCUGCUUUUGUGGGGUGCUCGAGUGGCGAACGGGUGAGUAACACGUGAGUAACCUGCCCUUGACUUUGGGAUAACUUCAGGAAACUGGGGCUAAUACCGGAUAGGAGCUCCUGCUGCAUGGUGGGGGUUGGAAAGUUUCGGCGGUUGGGGAUGGACUCGCGGCUUAUCAGCUUGUUGGUGGGGUAGUGGCUUACCAAGGCUUUGACGGGUAGCCGGCCUGAGAGGGUGACCGGCCACAUUGGGACUGAGAUACGGCCCAGACUCCUACGGGAGGCAGCAGUGGGGAAUAUUGCACAAUGGGCGGAAGCCUGAUGCAGCAACGCCGCGUGCGGGAUGACGGCCUUCGGGUUGUAAACCGCUUUCGCCUGUGACGAAGCGUGAGUGACGGUAAUGGGUAAAGAAGCACCGGCUAACUACGUGCCAGCAGCCGCGGUGAUACGUAGGGUGCGAGCGUUGUCCGGAUUUAUUGGGCGUAAAGGGCUCGUAGGUGGUUGAUCGCGUCGGAAGUGUAAUCUUGGGGCUUAACCCUGAGCGUGCUUUCGAUACGGGUUGACUUGAGGAAGGUAGGGGAGAGUGGAAUUCCUGGUGGAGCGGUGGAAUGCGCAGAUAUCAGGAGGAACACCAGUGGCGAAGGCGGUUCUCUGGGCCUUUCCUGACGCUGAGGAGCGAAAGCGUGGGGAGCGAACAGGCUUAGAUACCCUGGUAGUCCACGCUGUAAACGGUGGGUACUAGGUGUGGGGUCCAUUCCACGGGUUCCGUGCCGUAGCUAACGCUUUAAGUACCCCGCCUGGGGAGUACGGCCGCAAGGCUAAAACUCAAAGGAAUUGACGGGGCCCCGCACAAGCGGCGGAGCAUGCGGAUUAAUUCGAUGCAACGCGUAGAACCUUACCUGGGUUUGACAUGGAUCGGGAGUGCUCAGAGAUGGGUGUGCCUCUUUUGGGGUCGGUUCACAGGUGGUGCAUGGCUGUCGUCAGCUCGUGUCGUGAGAUGUUGGGUUAAGUCCCGCAACGAGCGCAACCCCUGUUCACUGUUGCCAGCACGUUAUGGUGGGGACUCAGUGGAGACCGCCGGGGUCAACUCGGAGGAAGGUGGGGAUGACGUCAAGUCAUCAUGCCCCUUAUGUCCAGGGCUUCACGCAUGCUACAAUGGCUGGUACAGAGAGUGGCGAGCCUGUGAGGGUGAGCGAAUCUCGGAAAGCCGGUCUCAGUUCGGAUUGGGGUCUGCAACUCGACCUCAUGAAGUCGGAGUCGCUAGUAAUCGCAGAUCAGCAACGCUGCGGUGAAUACGUUCCCGGGGCU